rnacentral:rRNA from 1 species
CCUACGGGAGGCAGCAGUGGGGAAUAUUGCGCAAUGGGCGAAAGCCUGACGCAGCGACGCCGCGUGAGGGAUGACUGUCCUCGGAUUGUUAAACUCUGUCUGCAUGGGAGUACGGUGACUGUGCUAUUCAGCUGUGAAUUGACGGUACCUGCAAAGGAAGCACCGGCUAACUCCGUGCCAGCAGCCGCGGUAAUACGGGGGGUGCGAGCGUUAAUCGGAAUUACUGGGCGUAAAGCGCUCGUAGGCGGGAUGUCAAGUCAAUUGUGAAAGUCCGCAGCUCAAGCUUGGAACUGACUUUGAAACUGGCAGACUGGAGUGUGUUAGAGGAGAGUGGAAUUCGAGGUGUAGCAGUGAAA